UUCUUGUUUGGAGCUGUACUCCUUGAAUCUGGACGAUCCUGGACUUGAUUUGGAACUGAAGUCCAGUUUACAGACACAAAACAAAUUCCAGAAGAUUGUAUGGUCCGGUGCAGGGGUCAUAGUGGGGGGUUGUGAUGGUGGUUUGCUCGAGUUCUACAAUGCGGAGAAACUACUUAAAAAUAGCAGUGAUGCCUUACUCGGCAGUAUCACAAAACACAAUGGCAAUGUAUCAGCACUGGAUAUCAAUCCAUACCAGAAGAACCUGCUCGCAUCUGGAGCGUCUGAGAGUGAGAUCUUUGUGUGGGACCUAAACCACAUCAGUCAGCCAAUGCCGCCGGGCAA